ensembl:lncRNA
AAGUCGGAAAACCCGAAUUCUGUUCAGAGUUCAGCCGCUGGGGGCGCCACGGCAACCAACCGCCACGGCAACCGCCCCCGCUCCAUUCUGCAGGGGCGCCGCCCCCCUCAACCAGGAAGGGGUCAGUCGGUUGUUGCUAGGCAACGGUUACAGCUGGGGGCACGGAACAGAUGGCUCCGUUUUUGGUUUAUUGGCAGAGUUUUCAGGAAGCGAAGAUUGAAUCAGUGGAGUUUGAGAUAAAAAUCACAAACCAAUCAAUAUUCUCCAUGUGGGACACGAGAAGAUGAUGAAGACGAGAUCACAGGGGAUUAAUCUAAAGCCUUUCGCUAACAAUUAUUUUACUCCUUCAAACGUCCUCACUGACCCUGUGGACAGUCAAUUUUACAGUUUUCUCUAAACCUCCAGCAAUACGUUUGUCUUCUCUAUUCGGCCAUUUGAUUAAAAAGAUAUUUAAGAUGCUACACAGACUUUUUCCUGUCAACGCUUAAAGGACAUUAUUGGACACGCUGUAGCAAUAUUUUUUCAUUAACAUUUCUCUGGUAUACUAGUGUACUGUGACCUGCAAGAUACUUUACAGUCGUGGGUCAAUUCGGUGCUUUGAGGAAAACAUCUUACUGUCAUAAAAGAUCAUAGUACGGAAUGUAAAAAAAUAUGUCCUUGUACAGUAUGUCAGACUGUACAGUACUAUGAGUCAUGUUAUGGCACGUUGAAAAACGUCAUGCCAUAAAAAGGUCAUAAAAGCAUCACUAUGUUAUUUAAAGGCCAUCUUAUAAUGUGUCAUGUUAUUUGAGCUUCGGAUCUGAAGCUUCACGUAAAAACACCUUCUUCUUCCUCAGGAAAAACAAAAUGGCUGCCAGUCAGUCAUCGCGGGGAACGGUUUCGUUUCUCCACACCGGAUUGUUCACAUUAAUUAUUCAUUUUAAAUGGUGGAAUUUUCAUCCUUCGCUGGGGAAAUAGAAGCAGUCACGUCUCCAUGGCAACAUGAAGAAAUUCAUACGGCGCGCCAUAAAAAUGUCAAGAGUGCAGUUUGUCAUUAAAAAAAGUCAUAAAAACAAAAAGGAUCACGUCUCCAUGUGCGGCUGUUGCUAUGGCAAUAAGAUCUGGACGGAUAAAAGCUCGCGCUUUGGGGUUCAAAGGUUUACCGUGAUGUUCCUGCAUACGUACUUAUUCUUGUGUGCGUUUCUCA